rnacentral:rRNA from 1 species
AGUAGAACGCUGAAGAGAGGAGCUUGCUCUUCUUGGAUGAGUUGCGAACGGGUGAGUAACGCGUAGGUAACCUGCCUGAUAGCGGGGGAUAACUAUUGGAAACGAUAGCUAAUACCGCAUAACAAUUUUUGUUGCAUGACAAGAAUUUGAAAGGUGCAAUUGCACCACUAUCAGAUGGACCUGCGUUGUAUUAGCUAGUUGGUGGGGUAACGGCUCACCAAGGCGACGAUACAUAGCCGACCUGAGAGGGUGAUCGGCCACACUGGGACUGAGACACGGCCCAGACUCCUACGGGAGGCAGCAGUAGGGAAUCUUCGGCAAUGGGGGCAACCCUGACCGAGCAACGCCGCGUGAGUGAAGAAGGUUUUCGGAUCGUAAAGCUCUGUUGUAAGAGAAGAACGGAUGUGAGAGUGGAAAGUUCACAUCGUGACGGUAACUUACCAGAAAGGGACGGCUAACUACGUGCCAGCAGCCGCGGUAAUACGUAGGUCCCGAGCGUUAUCCGGAUUUAUUGGGCGUAAAGCGAGCGCAGGCGGUUAGAUAAGUCUGAAGUUAAAGGCUGUGGCUUAACCAUAGUACGCUUUGGAAACUGUUUGACUUGAGUGCAAGAGGGGAGAGUGGAAUUCCAUGUGUAGCGGUGAAAUGCGUAGAUAUAUGGAGGAACACCUGUGGCGAAAGCGGCUCUCUGGCUUGUAACUGACGCUGAGGCUCGAAAGCGUGGGUAGCGAACAGGAUUAGAUACCCUGGUAGUCCACGCCGUAAACGAUGAGUGCUAGGUGUUAGGCCCUUUCCGGGGCUUAGUGCCGCAGCUAACGCAUUAAGCACUCCGCCUGGGGAGUACGACCGCAAGGUUGAAACUCAAAGGAAUUGACGGGGGCCCGCACAAGCGGUGGAGCAUGUGGUUUAAUUCGAAGCAACGCGAA